GUAGGGGUUGUUGUUGGGGUAAUGGUAGGGGUUGUUGUUGGAAUAAUGGUAGGGGUUGUUGUUGGGGUAAUUGUAGGGGUUGUUGUUGGGGUAAUGGUAAGGGUUGUCGUUGGGGUAAUGGUAAGGGUUGUCGUUGGGGUAAUGGUAGGGGUUGUUGUUGGGGUAAUGGUAGGGGUUGUUGUUGGGGUAAUGGUAAGGGUUGUUUGGGGUAAUGGUAAGGGUUGUCGUUGGGGUAAUGGUAGGGGUUGUUGUUGGGGUAAUGGUAGGGGUUGUUGUUGGGGUAAUGGUAAGGGUUGUCGUUGGGGUAAUGGUAAGGGUUGUUGUUGGGGUAAUGGUAGGGGUUGUGGUUGGGGUAAUGGUAGGGGUUGUUGUUGGGGUAAUGGUAGGGGUUGUUGUUGGGGUAAUGGUAGGGGUUGUUGUUGGGGUAAUGGUUGUUGUUGG
ensembl:lncRNA